rnacentral:rRNA from 1 species
CCUACGGGAGGCAGCAGUGAGGAAUCUUGGUCAAUGGACGAGAGUCUGAACCAGCCAAGUAGCGUGAAGGAUGACUGCCCUAUGGGUUGUAAACUUCUUUUAUAUGGGAAUAAAAUGUUCCACGUGUGGGAUUUUGUCUGUACCAUAUGCAUAAGGAUCGGCUAACGCCGUGUCCGCAGCAGCGGUAAUACGGAGGAUCCGAGCGUUAUCCUGAUUUAUUGGGGUUAAAGGGAGAGUAGGUGGGUUGUGUAGUCAGUUGGGAAAGUUUGCGGCUCAACCCGAAAAUUGCAGUUGAAACUGGCUGUCUUGAGUGAGCGAGAAGAAUGCGGAAUGCGUGGUGUAGCGGUGAAAUGCAUAGAUAUCACGAAGAACUCCGAUUGCGAAGGCAGCAUUCCGGCGUCCAACUGACGCUGAAGCACGAAAGCGUGGGUAGCGAACAGGAUUAGAUACCCGAGUAGUC